rnacentral:rRNA from 1 species
CCUACGGGGGGCUGCAGUGGGGAAUAUUGGACAAUGGGGGCAACCCUGAUCCAGCCAUGCCGCGUGUGUGAAGAAGGCCCUCGGGUUGUAAAGCACUUUCAGUGAGGAAGAACGCCUGGUGGUUAAUACCCAUCAGGAAAGACAUCACUCACAGAAGAAGCACCGGCUAACUCCGUGCCAGCAGCCGCGGUAAUACGGAGGGUGCGAGCGUUAAUCGGAAUUACUGGGCGUAAAGCGCGCGUAGGUGGCUUGAUAAGCCGGUUGUGAAAGCCCCGGGCUCAACCUGGGAACGGCAUCCGGAAGUGACAAGCUAGGGUGCAGGAGAGGAAGGUAGAAUUGCCGGUGUAGCGGUGAAAUGCGUGGAGAUCGGGAGGGAUACCAGUGGCGAAGGCGGCCUUCUGGACUGACACUGACACUGGGGUGCGAAAGAGUGGGUAGGAAAGAGGAUUAGAUACCCCGGUAGUC